CUGGUUUCUCUUCAUUUGCAUGCAAAUCUUUCACCUUUUACUAAAGAUUUCCCUGGAGGGGAACGUUGACG
rnacentral:snRNA from 1 species